rnacentral:rRNA from 9 species
GGCGGGAUUACCCGCUGAGUUUAAGCAUAUCAAU